GAUUAACGCUGGCGGCGUGCAUAACACAUUCAAGUCGAACGGUGACGGGGCUUCGGCCCCUGAUCAGUGGCGGACGGGUGAGUAACGCGUGAGCAAUCUACCUCUUGGUGAGGGAUAACAACCGGAAACAGUUGCUAAUACCUCAUGAAACAGCAGCAUCGCAUGGUGCAACUGUCAAAGAUUUAUUGCCAAGAGAUGAGCUUGCGUCUGAUUAGCUAGUUGGUGAGGUAACGGCUCACCAAGGCGACGAUCGGUAGCCGGACUGAGAGGUUGAACGGCCACAUUGGAACUGAGAUACGGUCCAGACUCCUACGGGAGGCAGCAGUGGGGAAUAUUGGGCAAUGGGCGAAGGCCUGACCCAGCGACGCCGCGUGAGGGAAGAAGAUCUUCGGAUUGUAAACCUUAGUCAACAGGGAAGAAGAAAGUGACGGUACCUGUGGAGGAAGCCACGGCUAACUACGUGCCAGCAGCCGCAGUAAAAC
rnacentral:rRNA from 1 species